rnacentral:misc_RNA from 1 species
GAUGAAGAACGCAGCGAAAUGCGAUAAGUAAUGUGAAUUGCAGAAUUCAGUGAAUCAUCGAAUCUUUGAACGCACAUUGCGCCCGCCAGUAUUCUGGCGGGCAUGCCUGUUCGAGCGUCAUUACAACCCUCAGGCCCCCGGGCCUGGCGUUGGGGAUCGGCGGAGCCCCCCGUGGGCACACUCCGUCCCCCAAAUGCAGUGGCGGUCCCGCCGCAGCUUCCAUCGCGUAGUAGCUAACACCUCGCGACUGGAGAGCGGCGCGGCCACGCCGUAAAACACCCAACUCUUCUGAAGUUGACCUCGAAUCAGGUAGGAAUACCCGCUGAACUUAAGCAUAUCAAUAAGCGGAGGA